rnacentral:lncRNA from 1 species
UCUCAUCUUUUUAGACAUUAAUAUAAGAAUUUAUUUAGUUCACCUAAGAAAUCAAAAUAAAAUUCAUUAAUUUCGAUAGUGAUUGUUUGUUUAAUAAAAAUCAAAUUUCAAUUCUCAUUUCAUUCCAAAAUGAAAAUGCUUCAAUCCAUCUAUUAUUCAAUCCAAUUUUAAAUUUCGAAAUGGUUUAUUCCAAAUAAACCAUUUGAAAUCCUUUCUUACAAACAGCUCUUCCUCCUCUUCCUUUAUCACACACACUCUCUCUCUCUCUCUCUCUCAACUGAAACUCUAUUUUAAACUCCAAGAUGUCAAUUCCUAAUUAUCUAAAAAUAUUUAAUUCAUUAUUAAAUUUCUCAAUAAUAAAUUAAUAUUUUUAAAUAAUUCGUCAUUUUAUUUCUAUUUCAACAGGUAUAAUUCUAAUUUUUAUUUCUAUUUUAAUAUGAGCCAAAUAUCUCUUAAAUAUAUUUUUAUUUUUUGGAUGGACACGCGAGUUGA